rnacentral:rRNA from 1 species
CCUAACGAGCGCAACCCUUGUCCUUAGUUACCAGCACGUUAUGGUGGGCACUCUAAGGAGACUGCCGGUGACAAACCGGAGGAAGGUGGGGAUGACGUCAAGUCAUCAUGGCCCUUACGGCCUGGGCUACACACGUGCUACAAUGGUCGGUACAAAGGGUUGCCAAGCCGCGAGGUGGAGCUAAUCCCAUAAAACCGAUCGUAGUCCGGAUCGCAGUCUGCAACUCGACUGCGUGAAGUCGGAAUCGCUAGUAAUCGUGAAUCAGAAUGUCACGGUGAAUACGUUCCCGGGCCUU